AUUGAACGCUGGCGGCAGGCCUAACACAUGCAAGUCGAGCGGAUGAAGGGAGCUUGCUCCUGGAUUCAGCGGCGGACGGGUGAGUAAUGCCUAGGAAUCUGCCUGGUAGUGGGGGAUAACGUCCGGAAACGGGCGCUAAUACCGCAUACGUCCUGAGGGAGAAAGUGGGGGAUCUUCGGACCUCACGCUAUCAGAUGAGCCUAGGUCGGAUUAGCUAGUUGGUGGGGUAAAGGCCUACCAAGGCGACGAUCCGUAACUGGUCUGAGAGGAUGAUCAGUCACACUGGAACUGAGACACGGUCCAGACUCCUACGGGAGGCAGCAGUGGGGAAUAUUGUACAAUGGGCGAAAGCCUGAUCCAGCCAUGCCGCGUGUGUGAAGAAGGUCUUCGGAUUGUAAAGCACUUUAAGUUGGGAGGAAGGGCAGUAAGUUAAUACCUUGCUGUUUUGACGUUACCAACAGAAAGAGCACCGGCUAACUUCGUG
rnacentral:rRNA from 1 species